UAAUGCGAACGCGUGCAACACUGCCAAAGCGAAAUGGCAGAGGAAUGGUGCUCGCGCACCUCUCAAGCGCAGGCAAUCGCGUCUGGCGGCACCACCGAACUGCGGCGCCAACUGUGAACAUCACUCGCAGGGUUUACGUACAGGUGCGGACAAAAGCAGCUGGAACACGGAAGCUAUGGCCGAACUGCAUCCCAACGCCCCCCAGCAGCUUGAGGAACCUUCUGGCAUGAACCGCCCGUCGGGACUGAGCGAGGAGUUGGCGCUGGUCGACUGACUAGAUCCGCCUUGGAGAUCGCAGCCUCCCACGUUUCAGUGAGAAGGUCUGGGCCUGCGUCUACUGCUGCUGCUGGUGGUUCUGUCGCUGUGAUGCUUCCUCGGGUGUGUUUGCGUUGCAGUCCAAGGGUCAACCGGGCCUCCCCGCACUGGAUCCUAGUAACAAGAAAAGAAGGCACCGACUACAGGCGACUUUCACGCAUAGCGCCUUAUUGCAUCAUAUCCAGCCGACGCUACACAGCUACACUUGUCCACAUUGCAACGUGCUGAACGCUUAUUUCUUAUUUUUAUUUUAUUAACAGCGCCUUAUGUAACACUCCUGCUUUGUGGUUCUUCAGGAAAUAAAAUGUAGUAACGCGAAGAAGGAAA